CAACCAGGAGGUUGGCUUAGAAGCAGCCAUCCUUUAAAGAAAGCGUAAUAGCUCACUGGUCUAGUGAUUUUGCGCGGAAAAUAUAACGGGGCUAAAGUAAGUACCGAAGCUUUAGACUUGCACACAACUUAGAUGAUUUAAAUUUGGAAUAUGAGAAGCUAAAUUUGUUUUUAUUUAUUUUUGCUUAUCUUUAUUCAUUUUUAUAGAGUAAAGAUAAAAACAAAAACUUCGUAAAAAUAAUAAAAUUUAGUAAAAAACAAUAAAAAUAUUCUUAGAUUAAAAGUUAAGUCGUUUAAGUUGUGUGCAAGUGGUAGGAGAGCGUUCUAUUUGCGUCGAAGGUAUACCGACAAGGAGUGCUGGAGCGAAUAGAAGUGAGCAUGCAGGCAUGAGUAGCGAUAAUUAAUGUGAGAAUCAUUAACGCCGU
rnacentral:rRNA from 1 species